rnacentral:rRNA from 1 species
CCAGCCGUAAACUAUGAACACUAGGUGUGGAGGGUAUCGACCCCCUCCGUGCCGCAGCUAACGCAAUAAGUGUUCCGCCUGGGGAGUACGGCCGCAAGGCUAAAACUCAAAGGAAUUGACGGGGGCCCGCACAAGCGGUGGAGCAUGUGGUUUAAUUCGAUGCAACGCGAAGAACCUUACCAGGGCUUGACAUCCUCCGACGCGCGUAGAAAUACGUGUUCGUCCUUCGGGGAGCGGAGAGACAGGUGG